rnacentral:rRNA from 1 species
AGGGAAGAGCCCAGCGCCGAAUCCCCGGCCUCCGGUCGCGGGAAAUGUGGCGUUCAGGAGUGAGCGUGUGGUGUUCGGAGACCGCGGCAAGUCCCCCUGACCGGGGCCUGUCCGUAGCGGGUGCGAGGCCCAUAGCCGCGGUAGUCGUCGCCAAUGCGAUCUCCUUGGAGUCGGGUUGCUUGGGAGUGCAGCCCUAAUCGCGUGGUAAACUCCACGUAAGGCUAAAUACCGCCGUGAGACCGAUAGCAAACAAGUACCGUGAGGGAAAGUUGCAAAGAACUUUGAAGAGAGAGUUCAAGAGUACGUGAAACUGCUCAGAGGUAAACGGGUGGGCCCUCGAAAUCCUGUGGCGAGAGGAUUCAGUCUCGGACGGCGGACGCCGGGGAGGAAAUCUCCGAGUAGGGCAUCCGCGCACGCGGGCCGUCCUCUCCGGCGACCUCAACCGCCCAAGACGCAUUUGUCUCUCGUCCUAAGGACGCUGCAGCCGGUCUGGAAGUGCCAGCGCGACGGCCUGAAGGCGGGGAGCCGGCAGGUGGCCGGAAGCGUGCCUCGAGCGCGCCUUCGGUUGUUAGCCUUCCUCGCAGUGGCUCGUCUCCAGACCGUGGUGUCGCGAGACCCUUCGGGGUCUCAUCGUCUCCACCCAGAGUCGCGGAACAGGGCCCGGCCAGGGUUCUCUCGUCCGACCGUCGCACUACCACGGAGUGGACGGACGGGCCAGGGUCCCGAAUCGCCGGGACGGAUCCGCGGGGGACCGGAGGCUGGCAGCGAGUAGGUCGGUCACCCACCCGACCCGUCUUGAAACACGGACCAAGGAGUCUAACAUGUGCGCGAGUCAGUGAGUCUUGACUAGGCUCACGGGCGCAAUGAAAGCGAAGGAUCGCCUCAGCGCGAUCUCAGUGGGGAUCCCUUCUCCUCGAGGGAGGGGCGCACCCACGACACGUCCUAUCCGACUCGUCGGUUGUGCGUAGUCUGAGCGUACACGUUGGGACCCGMAAGAUGGUGAACUAUGCCCGGACAGGACGAG